rnacentral:rRNA from 1 species
CUACGGAGGGUGCGAGCGUUGUUCGGAAUUAUUGGGCGUAAAGAGCAUGUAGGCGGUCUGUUAAGUCUGGUGUGAAAGCCCGGGGCUCAACCCCGGAAGUGCAUUGGAUACUGGCAGACUUGAGUAUGGGAGAGGAAAGCGGAAUUCCGAGUGUAGGAGUGAAAUCCGUAGAUAUUCGGAGGAACACCAGUGGCGAAGGCGGCUUUCUGGACCAAUACUGACGCUGAGAUGCGAAAGCGUGGGGAGCAAACAGGAUUAGAUACCCCGGUAGUCC